UAGCUGGUCUGAGAGGAUGGCCAGCCACAUUGGGACUGAGAGACGGCCCAGACUCCUACGGGAGGCAGCAGUGGGGAAUCUUGCGCAAUGGGAGCAAUCCUGACGCAGCGACGCCGCGUGGGGGAGGAAGGGCUUCGGCUCGUAAACCCCUGUUGCCCGGGGCGAACCUCUGGUUUCGACCAGACUGACGGUACCGGGUGAGGAAGCACCGGCUAACUCCGUGCCAGCAGCCGCGGUAAUACGGAGGGUGCGAGCGUUGUCCGGAAUCACUGGGCGUAAAGGGCGCGUAGGCGGCAUGCCAAGCGUGUGGUGAAAGCCCGGGGCUCAACCCCGGGUCGGCCGUGCGGACUGGCGUGCUCGAGCACUGUAGGGGCGGGUGGAAUUCCGGGUGUAGCGGUGGAAUGCGUAGAGAUCCGGAAGAACACCGGUGGCGAAGGCGGCCCGCUGGGCAGGAAGGCUCAGCAAGAGCCCGGCUGACGCUGAGGCGCGACAGCGUGGGGAGCAAACAGGAUUAGAUACCCUGGUAGUCCACGCCGUAAACGA
rnacentral:rRNA from 1 species